rnacentral:rRNA from 1 species
AGUAACGGCGAGUGAAGCGGGAAGAGCUCAAAUUUAAAAUCUGGCAGUGUAUUCUGUCCGAGUUGUAGUCUAGAGAAGCAUCAUCCGUGCUGGACCAUGUACAAGUCUCUUGGAACAGAGCGUCAUAGAGGGUGAGAAUCCCGUCCUUGGCAUGGACUCCCAGUACUUUGUGUUGUGCUCUCAACGAGUCGAGUUGUUUGGGA